GACGGAGGAGCAGGAGCCUGCGGGGGAGGGGGAGCAAGUGGAUUGCUGCUUUUAGCAGCUGAAAGGGCUGCAGGGAGCUCUGGGUAAGACAUUUUCUACUGCUGCUGCUUCUGCGGUAGAAGCUGCCGGGAGUAAGUCGGAGGAAGGAGGAUCUAGAGGGAGGCGGCUUCAGUGCAGCCAUGCUGAAUCACAGUUGCUGAUCAGCUCUCCUGCUGGACUGCUAGGAGAAUCCAGAUAAGAGCUAGGAUUCCCGGGAGCCUACACAGUCCAGCGGCUAUCACCCCUACCGGGCCUCCCACAAUGGAGAGUGAAAGCAUCAAGCCAAACUCCCAGCCUCUGACACAGGCUGGAGAUGAUGAGAAGAGCCAGAGGACAAUCACCAUCAACCCUGCCCACAUGGGGAAGGCCUUCAAGGUCAUGAAUGAACUGCGGAGUAAGCAGCUGUUGUGUGACGUGAUGAUUGUGGCAGAAGAUGUGGAGAUAGAAGCCCACCGUGUGGUCCUGGCAGCCUGCAGUCCUUACUUCUGUGCGAUGUUCACAGGUGACAUGUCUGAGAGCAAAGCCAAGAAGAUUGAGAUUAAAGAUGUAGAUGGGCAGACACUGAGUAAGCUGAUCGACUACAUCUACACUGCGGAAAUCGAGGUGACUGAAGAGAAUGUGCAGGUGCUGCUCCCAGCGGCCAGCUUACUACAGCUCAUGGAUGUCAGGCAGAACUGUUGUGACUUCUUGCAGUCUCAGCUGCAUCCCACCAAUUGCCUGGGCAUCCGUGCAUUUGCGGAUGUGCAUGCUUGCACGGACCUUCUGCAGCAGGCCAAUGCCUACGCAGAGCAGCACUUUCCGGAGGUGAUGCUGGGGGAGGAGUUUCUCAGCCUGAGUCUGGACCAGGUGUGUAGCUUGAUAUCAAGCGACAAGUUGACCGUUUCUUCAGAAGAGAAGGUAUUUGAAGCUGUGAUUUCAUGGAUCAAUUAUGAGAAAGACACCCGUUUGGAGCACAUGGCCAAACUGAUGGAACACGUCCGACUUCCUCUCUUGCCUAGGGACUACUUAGUCCAGACAGUGGAAGAAGAAGCUUUGAUAAAGAAUAACAACACCUGUAAGGACUUCCUCAUUGAGGCCAUGAAAUACCAUCUGCUCCCACUGGAUCAGAGGCUCCUAAUUAAGAACCCGAGGACCAAGCCCAGGACUCCAGUGAGCCUGCCUAAGGUCAUGAUUGUGGUUGGUGGCCAGGCGCCCAAGGCGAUCCGCAGUGUGGAGUGCUAUGAUUUUGAGGAGGACCGGUGGGACCAGAUUGCUGAACUUCCUUCCAGGAGAUGCAGAGCAGGUGUGGUGUUCAUGGCUGGCCAUGUGUAUGCCGUGGGUGGGUUUAAUGGCUCGCUGCGGGUGAGGACAGUGGAUGUGUAUGAUGGUGUGAAGGACCAGUGGACAUCUAUCGCCAGCAUGCAGGAGCGCCGGAGCACCCUGGGCGCGGCGGUGCUCAAUGAUCUGCUCUACGCAGUGGGCGGCUUUGACGGCAGCACCGGCCUGGCAUCGGUGGAAGCCUACAGCUACAAGACCAACGAGUGGUUCUUUGUGGCCCCAAUGAACACACGGAGGAGCAGUGUGGGUGUGGGCGUUGUGGAGGGGAAGCUGUAUGCUGUUGGAGGCUAUGAUGGGGCUUCCCGCCAGUGCCUGAGCACAGUGGAGCAGUACAACCCAGCGACCAAUGAAUGGAUAUACGUGGCGGACAUGAGCACCCGCCGCAGUGGUGCAGGUGUUGGAGUGCUCAGCGGACAGCUGUACGCCACAGGUGGGCAUGAUGGGCCCUUGGUGAGGAAGAGUGUGGAGGUUUAUGACCCUGGAACAAACACCUGGAAGCAGGUGGCCGACAUGAACAUGUGCCGGCGCAAUGCAGGGGUCUGUGCAGUGAAUGGGCUCCUGUACGUGGUCGGAGGGGACGACGGAUCCUGCAACCUGGCUUCGGUGGAGUACUACAAUCCCGUUACUGACAAAUGGACGCUGCUGCCAACCAACAUGAGCACGGGGCGGAGCUACGCAGGUGUUGCUGUCAUUCACAAGUCCUUGUGACCCAAAUUCCCACUGCCAGGAGAUGGAGGAGGAUGUGGGUGCUACCAGUGACUGGAGCAGCAGGUUGCUAGCAGCCAGAUGUACCUCACUAAGAUGGUCCUUGGUGGUGUGAGAACCACUGUCCUCUGACUUGGCAGACUGGCAUUGUCCCUUAAGUAUGGACCCACCUCUUGCUUCCCGAAGGUGCUUUGGCCUCAGCCCUGAGCAGCAACAUUCCUGACAGCCUCAGCAGCACCUUCAGGCUUUUUCUUUCUUUUUUGGUAUUUAUAUAGGAACAACAGAGAGUCUGGAACCCAUGUGCACAUGUAUGUACUUCUCCCCAAGCCGCAGACAUCCAUUCCCUUUGCUUGCACUGUUGGGAAGGAGAUGGCAAUGGGCCCUGAAGUUGAGACCUUUUUCAAGAAUACUUGGAUUUUUAAGAGGACUUAGACAGAACAUUACCAAUUAUAGGAAGUGAAGCAUCUGGAAGGGGAAUUUGAGGGAGCAUUAGGUCAUUUGCAUUUUUAAAAGACCUAAUAAAUGUGUAAUUCAAUAUGUGUAAUUCCUAAGCUAGCACAUUGCCUAUGUUGUGCUUUUGUGGCUGAGGAGGGAAAUAUUGUGUCUUAUAUUCCGAAGCCUGGUGUUAGCCCUCUGAGAUGUCAAGAUUCUCCUCUUUGUAAACCCUGACAUUGGACCAAUGUGUGUUCUAGACAGAUUCUUCAGGAGAUUGGCAUCCCUGUUUUUUCUACUUCUGUCCUGCAGAAACUUAGGAGACUACUAAGAUUCCCAGCUGGUUGGCCACUUUGAGUAUUUACUGUAUAUAAUGACUGUUGUUUACCUCUCUUGAGAAUGAAGCUUCCCUUCCCAAAGUUAAGCACACAUUGUUUCAUCAAGACAUUUGAAGAGCACUUAGGUACCUAGGAACUCAGAAGCCUUGAGCAAAGGCUAACAUAUCUAGCUUGAGUGGACCCAGAAGAAAAGUCAUGCUUGAAUUAGCCACUCUGGUCUCACUGGCUGCAGGCGUGACUGUGAUUUCAGAGCUCUGCCUGGCUCUGAGUCAGAGAUUUUUUGUCCCAGAUAUCCUUCUUCCAUCUCCAAAGAUGCUUUGAGACUUGUUGGUGAGCACAUAUGGUAAGGGUGAGGGUGAGGAGUCUGGUGUGUGCCUGACAUACAAGUUCUCCACUUUGGAUGAAAGGAAAAUUCUUCACCCCUUUUCCCAUGAUGGAGAAGCUAAGCUUUUCUGCUUAGAUGGGGAAAGCUUGUCAUCUUGUCAUUUGACAAGCUUGUCAUUUGUCAUUGUUCUAGAAAAGAUACCUUGGAAGCUUGCCAGCCAUGUUUUCUGCCUUGGAGUUUUUGCCGUUGGUCCCGCCUUGCAUCCCCCUUCCCAAAGGGCCUUGCCUCUGCCGGUGGUGCUGCAGGGGCCAUGUUCAUUUCAUCUCCAUGCAGCCUUUCUCACAGGGACUAGAUAGAAUACUGCUAUGUCAUCACGAGAGAGUCACUCUGCUCUAGCUGUCCACAGACCCCACCCCGGAGUUACUGUUGCUUUAUCCUCAGGUGCAAUUCUUUCUCCACAGUGGAUGCAUUAGACUUUCAAGUCUAUGCUGGUCACGUGGUAGUGAGGCCUCCCUUCCCUGCCCCUAUUAGGGUGGCCACUCCUGCUUGUGAAUGCAGCUUUGCCGGUGGCAUAUCUGAAAUCUGAUUGCAGUGGUGAAAUGGAAUUGAGGCCCAAGGUUAGAAGCAGCUUAGACGCCACUUGGAUACUGAUUUGGACGACACAGAAGUCAGAUUCUGAAUUCCAAAGGUAUUUUCUCAUAAGUACCCAAUGGCAUCUCUCCAUCUAAAAAGUUGCAGUAUUAUGCAAAUAAAGUGACCUCAUUUUCUGCUAUGCAAUAAGAAUCCUUAAUUCUAUUUCAUGACAAGCCAGUUGCAAUAUCCCCUAAGAUGCUUUUUGAGCUGUCUUACUUUGAUAUAUGUUGUGUAAUGUUUGUAUAUUUCUGAGCCAGAUUCUUUCAAAGAUUGCCUUUUUAUAAAACUGAAGCUAUAGCUUUCAGGCUAAAAUUUUAAUGUAGAGAUUUUUAUAAGAUAUUUUUUUUUUCAAAAUAUAUGAAUCACUUUUUAUUGUCCAUGAUAAUAAAACGUUGUGUUGUAUAUGUCAUUCAGUCUCACACACAGUCUAUGCCUGUAGCUUAUCUUUCCUUUGUUGCCCUUCCUACCCCCCAAAAAACCCCAAAUAUUUCAGGAGCUCCAGUCUUCUUUUUCAUACUGUACUCAAGAGAGACUGCUGAAAAAAAUAGAGAGACUGCUGAAUUGAAAAGCACAGUCACUGGUGUGUCUUGAAUUGCAAGAGAUUAAUGUUAAGCUAGCCUCAGCAUCUACUCGUAGAUGAUAUAGAUUGCUUGUUUGCUCAUUUGUCUAUUUUGCUUGUCUCCCCAUUUGUUAAUUUUAUAGAGUUUGCUUUUGGAGGCCGAGGCUGGAUGGCCAUCUUCUGGUGGCUCUUCCUGCCUGGCAUCGAGCCCGGCUCACUGUAGCAUGCAGCAACCCCAGAGAAGGGCGUGCCCUCUGGCCCGUAUUCUCUGGUUCCUGGAUUCAGUAGGCCAUUCUUCAUUCUCUUCUGUCUUUCUCUUCUUCUGAAACUUCCGUGCCCCAAGGCCUUUGCCUCCAGGUGAUGUCCCUUUUGGGAACAUCCAUCUCCAUACUUUAGGAAAAGGACCUGUCCCAACCCCCGAGAAGAGCACAUUAGGCUUGUGCCUGUGGAUACUCACACCCACCUCCAGCUUGGUGCCUGAGCUUCUCUGUUCCGAGGUCUAUUCUGUGUCUUUAUUUGUCUUGAGCCUCAUUUUUAAAAAACAAAUCUUUGUUCUUAUUUUUGGGGCAGGUGCCAUUUGAAUCGCCUCCAUGCUCCCUGUUUGCCCCUACUUGGGUCAAGUUGGGAAACUGAGCAAACUCAUUCCAGCUUUUAAGGCUCUGUGUGCCUACAGAAGCAAGGGGCUGGAAUUUUUUUUUUUUUAAAUGUUUGCACUAUUUAGAGUUCUAAGCCUCUCACAGUCAGGUGUGUUGCUUUUUCACUGACCAAGCAGGAAAGCUGGAGCCCUUCCAAAUGGGAGUGGAAGCAGCUUCUUCCCUGGUGGGCAGUCACAGCCUCGCGGCCCUGGUGCAGCCUUUGCCCUGGAACUCAGUGACUCAUGGACACAGCAUUGGCCAUGGCAGGAGUGCAUGGAGCUGUGGCAUUUGCGGAAACAAACUGUCCUAGUGCUAUGUCCUUGCCUUUGGUUAUAAAGUGUAAAUUAUUUCCUCCCUUUCUAGUGGCAAUAAAAGACCCAUAUUGGACUUCUUGUUUAAUUUGUACAUGUAAAAUACUUUCUUUGGAAGAAAACUCCGGACACUGAUUGUGAAUGUCUGUGUGGGUGCUCUAUCCCUGUGCUUGUCACAAGCAGUCAGAUUGGAUCAUUGACAUUGCACAGGGAAGGUCCUUGAUCUAGUGCUUUCUGCAUGGAUGCUGAGGAUGUGUAUCAUAGAAAAGAACACUUGUCACAUGCUUGAUCAGUUACAGUGAUAGCUGAGGAAACAUUUCCUCAAAUGUAUUAAUAAAAAAUCAUGUUCUAGUUUCUCAUUUUGAAUGUUUAAUUUUA